UACGUAGGGUGCAAGCGUUGUCCGGAAUUAUUGGGCGUAAAGAGCUCGUAGGCGGUCUGUCACGUCUGCUGUGAAAACUCGGGGCUUAACCCCGGGCCUGCAGUGGGUACGGGGCAGACUAGAGUGCGGUAGGGGGAGACUGGAAUUCCUGGUGUAGCGGUGAAAUGCGCAGAUAUCGGGAGGAACACCAGUGGCGAAGGCGGCUUUCUGGUCUGCUCUUGACGCUGAGGCGCGAAAGCGUGGGGAGCAAACAGGG
rnacentral:rRNA from 1 species